rnacentral:rRNA from 1 species
CGCGCAGGUGGGAUAAUAAGUCUGAUGUUAAAGUUCGGGGCUCAACCUCGUGAAGCAUUUGGAUACUGUUAUUCUUGAGUGCAGGAGAGGAAAGUGGAAUUCCUAGUGUAGCGGUGAAAUGCGUAGAUAUUAGGAGGAACACCAGUGGCGAAGGCGACUUUCUGGACUGUGUCUGACACUGAGGCGCGAAAGCCAGGGUAGUGAACG